GAAUUCGCCCUUAGAGUUUGAUCCUGGCUCAGGACGAACGCUGGCGGCGCGCCUAACACAUGCAAGUCGAACGAGCGAGAGAGAGCUUGCUUUCUCGAGCGAGUGGCGAACGGGUGAGUAACGCGUGAGGAACCUGCCUCAAAGAGGGGGACAACAGUUGGAAACGACUGCUAAUACCGCAUAAGCCCACAGCUCGGCAUCGAGCAGAGGGAAAAGGAGCAAUCCGCUUUGAGAUGGCCUCGCGUCCGAUUAGCUAGUUGGUGAGGUAACGGCCCACCAAGGCGACGAUCGGUAGCCGGACUGAGAGGUUGAACGGCCACAUUGGGACUGAGACACGGCCCAGACUCCUACGGGAGGCAGCAGUGGGGAAUAUUGCACAAUGGGGGAAACCCUGAUGCAGCGACGCCGCGUGGAGGAAGAAGGUCUUCGGAUUGUAAACUCCUGUUGUUGAGGAAGAUAAUGACGGUACUCAACAAGGAAGUGACGGCUAACUACGUGCCAGCAGCCGCGGUAAAACGUAGGUCACAAGCGUUGUCCGGAAUUACUGGGUGUAAAGGGAGCGCAGGCGGGAAGGCAAGUUGGAAGUGAAAUCCAUGGGCUCAACCCAUGAACUGCUUUCAAAACUGUUUUUCUUGAGUAGUGCAGAGGUAGGCGGAAUUCCCGGUGUAGCGGUGGAAUGCGUAGAUAUCGGGAGGAACACCAGUGGCGAAGGCGGCCUACUGGGCACCAACUGACGCUGAGGCUCGAAAGUGUGGGUAGCAAACAGGAUUAGAUACCCUGGUAGUCCACACUGUAAACGAUGAUUACUAGGUGUUGGAGGAUUGACCCCUUCAGUGCCGCAGUUAACACAAUAAGUAAUCCACCUGGGGAGUACGACCGCAAGGUUGAAACUCAAAGGAAUUGACGGGGGCCCGCACAAGCAGUGGAGUAUGUGGUUUAAUUCGACGCAACGCGAAGAACCUUACCAAGUCUUGACAUCCUGCGACGCACAUAGAAAUAUGUGUUUCCUUCGGGACGCAGAGACAGGUGGUGCAUGGUUGUCGUCAGCUCGUGUCGUGAGAUGUUGGGUUAAGUCCCGCAACGAGCGCAACCCUUAUGGUCAGUUACUACGCAAGAGGACUCUGGCCAGACUGCCGUUGACAAAACGGAGGAAGGUGGGGAUGACGUCAAAUCAUCAUGCCCUUUAUGACUUGGGCUACACACGUACUACAAUGGCGUUAAACAAAGAGAAGCAAGACCGCGAGGUGGAGCAAAACUCAGAAACAACGUCCCAGUUCGGACUGCAGGCUGCAACUCGCCUGCACGAAGUCGGAAUUGCUAGUAAUCGCAGAUCAGCAUGCUGCGGUGAAUACGUUCCCGGGCCUUGCACACACCGCCCGUCA
rnacentral:rRNA from 1 species